UACAAAUGCCAGUUAAAGCAAGAGCUCUUGUGUUUCUGUUCCUGUGGAGUGCAGCUGAAAUGACCGCUACUGCUCCUUCACAGUAUAUUUACAUGAGCUUCCUGUAGACAUCAGUGCCAUUUAAAAUUAAGGCUGGAACACAGAUGUGGGGCUGGAAGUGGAGCAGCCCCUUUUAGCCAUGAGGCCCAAAGCCACGUGCUAAGGAUGGUGAAGCAGGGGAUAGAAAGAGCCUGUGUCUUUGCUGACUUCCUUAAGCCAUGGCACCAGCCUGGGCCUGCCCUACUCUGGACAUCUAAAUGUCAGGAGCUAAGAAUCAAGUCAGUCUAGAGGUGUUGGUUGUCAUGUGGAGAGAUCCUUCCCAAGAAGAAAGAUGCUACAAAGUGUCCUGGAAAUCCUCUUUGCCCCUCCAGAUCCAUCCUCCCUACCCUGCUCUGUGCCUCAGGAAGCUGCUUUUCAUGGUUCACAUCAACCAGGCUCCUGUACCCUCCAGAUGGGUCCAUCCUAUGGGAGGUACCAGCAGGAGACCAGAGAGAUGAAGGAGGGAAAGAAAGAAUAUUAGGGGUUGAAUUGUAUCACCCCAAAAUCCAUAUGGUGAAGUAUAACCCCUUCGGAAUGUAACCUUAUUAGAAAUGUCAGAGGCACGUGAACCAGAGCAACUCCAUCUUGAAUAGGGGCUGGGUAAAAUG
rnacentral:antisense_RNA from 1 species